UAGCUUACUCUAUAUUUUAUAAUCAAUUAAAAAUAAGAAAUUAAACCUGUUUACAUUUUGUUUAUGGCUAUAGCUUGUGGUAAAGCGAAUUAGAAUUUCAUUCUGAUUCGAAACAAUGUGCAAUGACGUGUUCCAUCUCUAUGCGACCGAGAGGGUCACAAUGCCGACGCUUCACAUGGAACUCCAGAACCCAAGAGAUAUGUCCAGAACUCUCAAUAAAUCGUCAGUUCUUGAUCGACAAACAACGAGAGAGACAGUAUUAUUAUGGCAAGCUUUUCAUUCAUCUUCCCUGAAGACAGACGUUGUUCCAUUAAGGACAACGAAGUCAAUUCAGGGUGGAUGUCAAUGGUGACCCAACUCAAUGCCCUUGGUGGUCCAGAGUCAGAGAGUCAGAACAUUGUUCAGAGCUUUGCAGAGGUACUUGGUGACAAGUACCACUACGAGAAUACCAUCAACAGCUCUCUGCUCUGGACUGUUGGGUACACCCCUUACAUUCCCCCAGCUCUGAAAGGAAGAAGCUUCCCUUCUGUCGAGAGCUUCUUCCUGGAUGAGUGGGAUCCACUGACACUCCUGCAGACUCCUCAGGUUCUGUCCACCAGUGUUUCCAUCGAGGAAGACAACCUGAUCCAGUCUGCUGCAGGCCUAGUGUCUCAAGUUCUGUCCACCAGUGUUGCCAUCGUGGAGAAUUACCUGAUCCAGUCUGCUGCAGGCCUAGUGUCUCAGGUUCUGUCCACCAGUGUUUCCAUCGAGGAAGACAACCUGAUCCAGUCUGCUGCAGGCCUAGUGUUUCUGGUUCUGUCCACCAGUGUUUCCAUCGUGGAGAAUGACCUGAUCCAGUCUGCUGCAGGCCUAGUGUCUCAGGUUCUGUCUACCAGUGUUUUCAUCGUGGAGAAUGACCUGAUCCAGUCUGCUGCAGGCCUAGUGUCUCAGGUUCUGUCCACCAGUGUUUCCAUCGUGGAGAAUGACUUGAUCCAGUCUGCUGCAGGCCUAGUGUCUCAGGUUCUGUCUACCAGUGUUGCCAUCAUGGAGAAUGACCUGAUCCAGUCUGCUGCAGGCCUAGUGUCUCAGGUUCUGUCCAGCAGUGACGCUAGAGUGAAGGAUCGUGAUGAUUCCACACUGAGAGACUCCAACCAACUUGAGGUCCAUGUGGCUGAUGUCUCAACCAAGAGAAGUAGACUAGUCAUCACUAUUUCUAUGUUUUCAUCCGAGAGUGGCAAUGCUUCGGUCCAUGAAGUUGAUGCUAUUGCUACCAGCCUGGAGCACUCUGCUGAGAAAAUGUCUACCUCUACCGCUAAUGGCCAUAUUGUUUCAUCCACUGCUGUAGCCAAUCAGAAGAAAACAAGGGGUGGAUUCAUCUCAUCUCUACGGAGACUGUUCACAAGAAAGAACAGGAUGCCUGCUUAAAGUGGCAUCAAAGAAGGAGCACGUUCACUUGGUUGACCGCCUCAAUGCUGAAGUCACCCACUGAGGACACUCACUCACUGCUGAAGGCAUCCAGAAUGAUGCUUCUGUUUCUCCUCAACACCACCUACACCCCUGCCCCUCUCCCCCACACCAAACCCUACCAGGGUUGAGGUGAAUUCCAGAUCAAUUCAGUCAAUUCAGCAAGUCAACUGAAAUUCCAAUUCCAAUUGUUUCUCAUAGGAGGCAAUGAGGUAAAUUUGAAUUGCUAUUGGAAUUUCAGUUUACUUACUGAAUUGACUGAAUUGAAAAUGAAUUGACCCCAACCCUGAUCCCCAAGCCCCCACCCCAUCCAUUUCUAUCUUCAGUAAAUUUUGUAGAAUUUUAUUUGAAGUUGUUUUGGAUCUUCAUUAAAACCACAAUACAUCUCUAAUGAGGGUCACUCAUGUUACACAUCUAGAUUUAUCAUCAAAUAUCGUAGAAUUCAACAACAAAUGCAGAAAAACUGAAAACUUUUGCUGACAUUCGGUUACAAUGUAACUACACUGAACAAAAAUAUUAGCGCAACAUGUAAAGUGUUGGUCCCAUGUUUCAUGAGCUGAAAUAAAAUCCCAGAAGUGUUCCAUAUGUACAAAAAGGUUAUUUCUCUCAAAUGUUGUGUUUACAUCCCUGUUAGUGAGCAUUUCUCCUUUGCCAAGAUAAUCCAUCC
rnacentral:lncRNA from 1 species